GAUGAACGCUCGCUACAGGCUUAACACAUGCAAGUCGAGGGGAAACGACAUCGAAAGCUUGCUUUUGAUGGGCGUCGACCGGCGCACGGGUGAGUAACGCGUAUCCAAUCUGCCCACCACUUGGGGAUAACCUUGCGAAAGUAAGACUAAUACCCAAUGAUAUCUCUAGAAGACAUCUGAAAGAGAUUAAAGAUUUAUCGGUGAUGGAUGGGGAUGCGUCUGAUUAGCUUGUUGGCGGGGUAACGGCCCACCAAGGCAACGAUCAGUAGGGGUUCUGAGAGGAAGGUCCCCCACAUUGGAACUGAGACACGGUCCAAACUCCUACGGGAGGCAGCAGUGAGGAAUAUUGGUCAAUGGACGAGAGUCUGAACCAGCCAAGUAGCGUGCAGGAAGACGGCCCUAUGGGUUGUAAACUGCUUUUAUAAGGGAAUAAAGUGAGUCUCGUGAGACUUUUUGCAUGUACCUUAUGAAUAAGGACCGGCUAAUUCCGUG
rnacentral:rRNA from 1 species